UCGCCUCCCAAAAGGUAACGGAGGCGCUCAAAGGUUCUCUCAGUACGGUCGGAAAUCGUACGUAGAGUGUAAAGGCAAAAGAGAGCUUGAUUGCAAGACAUACAGGUCGAGCAAGGAUGAAAAUCGGCCUUAGUGAUCCGGUGGUUCUGCGUGGAAGGGCCAUCGCUCAACGGAUAAAAGCUACCCUGGGGAUAACAGGCUUAUCUCCCCCAAGAGUCCACAUCGACGGGGAGGUUUGGCACCUCGAUGUCGGC
rnacentral:rRNA from 1 species